rnacentral:rRNA from 1 species
UACGGAGGGUGCAAGCGUUAAUCGGAAUUAUUGGGCGUAAAGAGCGCGCAGGCGGUCGUUCAAGUCGCGUGUGAAAGCCCCCGGCUCAACUGGGGAGGGUCACGCGAUACUGAUCGACUCGAAGGCAGGAGAGGGUAGUGGAAUUCCCGGUGUAGUGGUGAAAUGCGUAGAGAUCGGGAGGAACACCAGAGGCGAAGGCGGCUAGCUGGAUAGGCACUGACACUCAACUGCGAAAGCGUGGGGAGCAAACAGG